ACAAUCGAUCUUUAGCUUAGACAUUUUAGCAACGAUGCUUACCUAACACGUGUCAGUCUCUGAGUAAAGUUUUAGAAGAAAAAAAAAAAGCAGUGUUUUUAUUUUUUGUUUAUCGGUGUCGUCUUUUCUCUUUCAUCAUCGAGAAAGAGUUUCAUCUCGAUUGAGGAAGAUACUCUUCAUACAUCCAUCUAGAUCAAUAUCUGAAUUUUUUGGCUUGAUUGAGGAAGAUUUUUGGCUUGUAUAGAUCAGUAUGAUGGCCAAAACUGAAAUUUUUAGUGGCAUGUGUUCGUGUGGGUUUCGGUGAAUUUGAACAUGAUGAAUCGAGUAUUCGGGAAACCCAAGCAGGAGUCUAAUCUUAACGAGGUUGUUUUGAGAACUCCGCCGCCGAAAAGGCUCAAGUCCGACGCUGGAGGCAGCCCAAUCUCCGCCAACGCCUCUGGUUCCGGCAAGCAGAUAGUCAUAUACGAAGAUUCUCCUCUUCCUGCUCCUGCUCUGCUACAAACUUUGAGUGAUCAUUCCGAUCAACACCUUUGCACCUAUCAAUGUCGUAUACUCUCUUCUGGAGUUAUACUCUACAACAAGUGAAGGAGCUCGAAAUGGCAACAGUUCCAGGACAGCUGGUCUGGGAUCUCGUAAAGAGAAACAACUGUUUCUUGGUGAAGCAGUUCGGCAGAGGUAACGCCAAGGUUCAGUUCAGCAAAGAGAAAAACACACCUCAUCAACCUCAACUCUUACAAGCACUCUUGUUUGGCCAACAAGAAGACAGUGACCAAGCUGACAAGGACCAAGGUGUGGUACUCGGAACCACCAAGAGAAAAAGACAAAACAAGCCUAUGCUCUCUGUUAACAAGUCUGUCUUCAAAAAGGAGUUCCCGAGGAUGACCAAAAUAAUGACCACAUUUUUAGAUACUACCAAUGGACAAUAAAAAUAGAAAGUUUCUUAAGAAGUUUGUUAACUUCAAAUUUUAUUCACUUUUAUUCAAAUUAAUGUUUUUAACAACUUUGCUUAAAUGCAACCAAUGGUGAUGCUCUAAGAGCAUCUCCAUUGGUGGUAUUUAAGCAAAGUUUGUUAGCCUGAAAAGCUAAAAAAAUAAAUCAAAAAUCCUAAUUAACUAACAAUCGAUCUUUACCGAAAGGAUUUAAGAAACGGCAAACACGUGUCAGCCUCGGAGUAAAAUUUUAGGGAAAAAACAAAAAAUAAAGGCGGUGUUUUUCUUUCUUCCAUCUCACUGUCGUCUUUUUCUCGUUUCCUCGAUGAAAUUUGAGGAAGAGUUUCGUCUUGAUUGAGGAAGAAAAUCGUCUUCCACCCCUGAUCAUUAUCUGAAUUUUUCGUCUUGAUUGAAGAAGAUUUUCUGCUUGUAUAGAUCAGUAUGAUGGCCAAACUUGAUGGUUGUCCUCCCUCAUUAACAACAAGCAGAACCAUGGUUCGGCUUUGGUAUAUUUAUUGAUCUGGAUUUGAAUUGGAGGACGAGUCAUGCUUCCUAACUUGAUGGUUGUUCGAAUCGAUGGUCGUGAAGAUUUUUUCAAGUUCAAGAGUUUGAGAAGCCUAAUGAUGAAACAGCACUCAGUCUGAUGAAUUCAUGUUCUGCUGCGGUUUUGCAAGAGUUUCCGGACAUCAUCUUUGCGUAUGGAUACAAUAAAGAAUACAGGUCCCAAAAAAUUUACUUCUUUGACUGCACCUUGAAUGGGUUUUUGAUAAGAGCACCUUCUGUUUUUGCUGUAGCUUGAAUGGGUUUGUGUACAUUGAGUUUGUGGUUAACAUACAAUUUGAUCCGAAUGCAAGCUCAGAGAAGUCCAUCGGAUACAACGGUGGCGAGAAUGCUGGUGGGAAACAAGUGUGACUUGGAAAACAUAAGAGCAGUGAGCGUGGAGGAAGGGAAAGCACUAGCAGAAGCGCAUGAACUCUUCUUUGUGGAAACAUGGCACUUGAUUCAACUAAUAUGAACAGCAUUUGAAAAAAAAUUAAAUUAAGAACCCUAAUUUUAGAUACUACCAAUGAACCCAUAAAAUUGUAAAGUUUCUAAAGAAAUUGUUAACUUCACUUUUA